GAUGAACGCUGGCGGCGUGCCUAAUACAUGCAAGUCGAGCGAACAGACGAGGAGCUUGCUCCUCUGACGUUAGCGGCGGACGGGUGAGUAACACGUGGAUAACCUACCUAUAAGACUGGGAUAACUUCGGGAAACCGGAGCUAAUACCGGAUAAUAUAUUGAACCGCAUGGUUCAAUAGUGAAAGACGGUUUUGCUGUCACUUAUAGAUGGAUCCGCGCCGCAUUAGCUAGUUGGUAAGGUAACGGCUUACCAAGGCAACGAUGCGUAGCCGACCUGAGAGGGUGAUCGGCCACACUGGAACUGAGACACGGUCCAGACUCCUACGGGAGGCAGCAGUAGGGAAUCUUCCGCAAUGGGCGAAAGCUUGACGGAGCAACGCCGCGUGAGUGAUGAAGGUCUCCGGAUCGUAAAACUCUGUUAUUAGGGAAGAACAAAUGUGUAAGUAACUAUGCACGUCUUGACGGUACCGAAUCAGAAAGCCACGGCUAACUACGU
rnacentral:rRNA from 1 species